AUUAGGUGUCAAACAGAGGUAAUUAAACUACACGAUGACUGGUAGAUCACACACUGGACACCCCAACACAGAAAUAAAGACCGGCUAUUAGGUGUCAAACAGAGGUAAUUAAACUACACGAUGACUGGUAGAUCACACACUGGACACCCCAACAGAGAAAUAAAGACCGGCUAUUAGGUGUCAAACAGAGGUAAUUAAACUACACGAUGACUGGUAGAUCACACACUGGACACCCCAACACAGAAAUAAAGACCGGCUAUUAGGUGUCAAACAGAGGUAAUUAAACUACACGAUGACUGGUAGAUCACACACUGGACACCCCAACACAGAAAUAAAGACCGGCUAUUAGGUGUCAAACAGAGGUAAUUAAACUACACGAUGACUGGUAGAUCACACACUGGACACCCCAACACAGAAAUAAAGACCGGCUAUUAGGUGUCAAACAGAGGUAAUUAAACUACACGAUGACUGGUAGAUCACACACUGGACACCCCAACACAGAAAUAAAGACCGGCUAUUAGGUGUCAAACAGAGGUAAUUAAACUACACGAUGACUGGUAGAUCACACACUGGACACCCCAACAGAGAAAUAAAGACCGGCUAUUAGGUGUCAAACAGAGGUAAUUAAACUACACGAUGACUGGUAGAUCACACACUGGACACCCCAACACAGAAAUAAAGACCGGCUAUUAGGUGUCAAACAGAGGUAAUUAAACUACACGAUGACUGGUAGAUCACACACUGGACACCCCAACACAGAAAUAAAGACCGGCUAUUAGGUGUCAAACAGAGGUAAUUAAACUACACGAUGACUGGUAGAUCACACACUGGACACCCCAACACAGAAAUAAAGACCGGCUAUUAGGUGUCAAACAGAGGUAAUUAAACUACACGAUGACUGGUAGAUCACACACUGGACACCCCAACACAGAAAUAAAGACCGGCUAUUAGGUGUCAAACAGAGGUAAUUAAACUACACGAUGACUGGUAGAUCACACACUGGACACCCCAACACAGAAAUAAAGACCGGCUAUUAGGUGUCAAACAGAGGUAAUUAAACUACACGAUGACUGGUAGAUCACACACUGGACACCCCAACACAGAAAUAAAGACCGGCUAUUAGGUGUCAAACAGAGGUAAUUAAACUACACGAUGACUGGUAGAUCACACACUGGACACCCCAACACAGAAAUAAAGACCGGCUAUUAGGUGUCAAACAGAGGUAAUUAAACUACACGAUGACUGGUAGAUCACACACUGGACACCCCAACACAGAAAUAAAGACCGGCUAUUAGGUGUCAAACAGAGGUAAUUAAACUACACGAUGACUGGUAGAUCACACACUGGACACCCCAACAGAGAAAUAAAGACCGGCUAUUAGGUGUCAAACAGAGGUAAUUAAACUACACGAUGACUGGUAGAUCACACACUGGACACCCCAACACAGAAAUAAAGACCGGCUAUUAGGUGUCAAACAGAGGUAAUUAAACUACACG